AAUGAUACCUGCCAAUAGAAAUGAACUUACUGCUAUACUUAGUAGCGUGCACUUUUUGUUUUAAGCAAAGAAGCCAGAUACCAUAUAGUACACGAUACAAGACACCAUUGAAAUGAGCAAGCGAAGUGAACGGGACUAAUGGGGAUCUGAGCAGUAACGGCCUACAGAGCAACGGGUGCACUGAGGAUCACUUGAAAAGUUGGUAGAGUGAUGGUUAAGAUUUUCUGACAUUCCCAAGAGUCAGGAGGACAAGACAGCAGAAGAGUAGCUUCCAGCACAAGCAGGGCAAUGGUUGGUAUCAGUAUCACUGGCUUAAGUUCAGCAGAAAUCUACCCUGGAAAGAAUGCUUCCAGUUCCCAUGCUAACUGGGCAACAUCAAUGCAAGGAUUUGCUUAGUCAAAACCUAAGCCUUGACUUUUGUUUUUAGCUAUGGCUCUGUAUUUGAUGUUUCAUAAACUACUACGACACUGAAGAUAGAAACACAAUAAAGAAAUCCUUGAGAUGCCAUAGUACCCAAGGAACUCCACAGCUACCUGGCUUUUUGCUUAGAAAUGGUACAGCAUUGGGGUAGGAGUGCAGGUGAGGACAGGAGGUUGGGGAAGACUGGAGCUUGUUGGUGCUAAGACAGUCAGAAGGUAUAGACAGGACAUUCAAUAAGGACUGGUUGGUGCGGAGCAACUACCGUAUGGCAGAAUUGAACAUACAGUAGGUGUGUUUACUCCACACGUGUUGGAGUACAGAUGUGAGUGAGUCUCUCAGAAUUUAAGUCACAAGCACACAGAGGCUUAUGAGCAGCUAGGGCCAAGCCACAGAAUAAGGUCGAUUGAUACUCUAGGGCUAGAACACAUCUGAAAUACAAUUCUCAAAGAGCAAGAUCAGUGUUGACUGAGUCAAUAGGAUCUGCUAGUAAUUUAGUUAUCUGCCACAAGAAACUUAGUACUAUAGCCAGGUUUCCUCGUUCACAACAACCAGCAGACAAUCAAAAAUCACCUGGAGAUGUUGUGACAAAAAGCAAUCCUACAAACAGAACUAGAGGUGUUCCUGGUCCUUUUCAGAGGAAGAAUGUGAAAUUGCUCCAGUUGUGUUCAAAGACUUUAAAAGAAAAAA